UGACCGCCAAAUUGCUAUUCCGUACGGGCUCUAUUACGCGUAAACAUUGCAUAUACAUUCUGAGGGUCGGGCUCUGAAUGCCUAUUCAAUGCCUUUCGUAAUAGCUUUUCCUUUAUUUCAAACAAAAAUCUACUACUACCUCCACUCAUCAUUCUGGUAACAAUAGUAAGAGAUCUUCUUGGGUUUUGUAUAAAAUGCAUAGAAGACUCUCUGGUUUUGGAUUUUGGGUGUGGCGGAUUUGCGUGUGGUGGAAAAUAUGGAGAAAUCGAUGUCGAAGCAAAGCUUUCCAAUGAAAUGUGCAUGUCUCCCAUUGUGCAUCCCAACGAUUGUGGGAACGACAAGGCUCUGAUCAAUUAUCAGCUAUUGUUGUCUUCACCAUAGAGUAUUCUCUAAUAUGCAAAAUUUCAGAUUACAAGAAGCUUUAUAUAACAUUCUCUAUAUUGAGUAUAGUUUUUAGUUAUAGUAUAUAAUUAGUAUUUAAAGAUAAAGAUAUGCACUGUAUAUGUAAAAAUAGGUUUCUCAAGUUCCCAAUGAAAAAGAGACAGUUUAUGGAGCAUUGGAUAAAUGGGAGACUGAGUUUCCAUUGAUUGUAGCUACAAAAGCUUUACAAAUUUUCAAGAAGAGGAGCUAAUGGUUGCGUGAAAUUUAGUCUAUUGGUAUUCUUGCUUUGUGUUUUCCAGCUUCUAAAAUACAUUCAUUGAUGUAGGGAAGCUUUAUAUGUUCAAUAAUUUUCCAUUAAUAUGUAUUAUAUUAAAAUAGCCUUGUAUUAACGUAUUUGAUUCUAUAAAAUACUCUCAAUCAGUAUUUUAAAGGAACCUUAAUGCUAUUCUUUGUGAAUAGAUACUUUCAAUCAGUAUUCUUUGUAAAGUUUGGCACAUGUAAAAAUGAAGUUGCUUAAGAGUUUGUGAUUACAUACAUUAAA